rnacentral:tRNA from 1 species
UUGCGGGAUAGAGCAGUUUGGUAGCUCGCAAGGCUCAUAAUCUUGAGGUCAUAGGUUCAAAUCCUAUUCCCGCAACCCA